CAACCCUCAAGCUCUGCUUGGUAUUGGGCCUCCGCCAGUAAAAUGGCGGGCCUUAAAAUCAGUGUGCGGUGCCGUUGGGUCCUGAGCGUAGUAAUUCUUCUCGCUACAGGUUCCCCGCGUGCCUCUGCCAUUAAACCCCAAAUUUUCUAUGGUU
rnacentral:rRNA from 1 species